AGUGAACGCUGGCGGUAGGCCUAACACAUGCAAGUCGAACGGCAGCACAGUAAGAGCUUGCUCUUACGGGUGGCGAGUGGCGGACGGGUGAGGAAUACAUCGGAAUCUACUUUUUCGUGGGGGAUAACGUAGGGAAACUUACGCUAAUACCGCAUACGACCUACGGGUGAAAGCAAGGGAUCUUCGGACCUUGCGCGAUUGAAUGAGCCGAUGUCGGAUUAGCUAGUUGGCGGGGUAAAGGCCCACCAAGGCGACGAUCCGUAGCUGGUCUGAGAGGAUGAUCAGCCACACUGGAACUGAGACACGGUCCAGACUCCUACGGGAGGCAGCAGUGGGGAAUAUUGGACAAUGGGCGCAGGCCUGAUCCAGCCAUACCGCGUGGGUGAAGAAGGCCUUCGGGUUGUAAAGCCCUUUUGUUGGGAAAGAAAAGCAGCAGGUUAAUACCCCGCUGUUCUGACGGUACCCAAAGAAUAAGCACCGGCUAACUUCGUG
rnacentral:rRNA from 1 species